AUCGCUUCUCGGCCUUUUGGUUAAGAUCAAGUGUAGUAUCAUAUCCAUUUUUUCAUUUUUAAAAAUACAGUACAAUAA
rnacentral:snRNA from 1 species